rnacentral:rRNA from 1 species
GUGGGGAAUCUUGCGCAAUGGGCGAAAGCCUGACGCAGCCAUGCCGCGUGGAUGAUGAAGGUCUUAGGAUUGUAAAAUCCUUUCACCGGUGAAGAUAAUGACUGUAGCCGGAGAAGAAGCCCCGGCUAACUUCGUGCCAGCAGCCGCGGUAAUACGAAGGGGGCUAGCGUUUCUCGGAAUUACUGGGCGUAAAGGGAGCGUAGGCGGACAUUUAAGUCAGGGGUGAAAUCCCGAGGCUCAACCUCGGAACUGCCUUUGAUACUUGGUGUCUUGAGUGUGAGAGAGGUGACUGGAACUCCGAGUGUAGAGGUGGAAUUCGUAGAUAUUCGGAAGAACACCAGUGGCGAAGGCGACUCACUGGCUCAUUACUGACGCUGAGGCUCGAAAGCGUGGGGAGCAAACAGGAUUAGAUACCCUAGUAGUCC